AUGGGAACGCGAAGAACCUUACCUAGACUUGACAUCUCCUGAAUAGUGUAGAGAUACAUGAAGCCCUUCGGGCGAGGAAGACAGGUGGUGCAUGGUUGUCGUCAGCUCGUGUCGUGAGAUGUUGGGUUAAGUCCCGCAACGAGCGCAACCCUUAUCAUUAGUUGCUACCAUUUAGUUGAGCACUCUAGUGAGACUGCCCGGGUUAACCGGGAGGAAGGCGGGGAUGGACGUCAAAUCAUCAUGCCCCUUAUGUCUAGGGCUACACACGUGCUACAAUGGUGAGAACAACGAGAUGCAAUACCGCGAGGUGGAGCAAAACUUCAAAACUCAUCUCAGUUCGGAUUGUAGGCUGAAACUCGCCUACAUGAAGUUGGAGUUGCUAGUAAUCGCGAAUCAGAAUGUCGCGGUGAAUACGUUACCCGGGUCUU
rnacentral:rRNA from 1 species